CCUACGGGUGGCAGCAGUAGGGAAUAUUGCUCAAUGGGCGAAACCCUGAAGCAGCAACGCCGCGUGGAGGAUGAAGGUUUUCGGAUUGUAAACUCCUUUUGUUAGAGACGAUAAUGACGGUAUCUAACGAAUAAGCACCGGCUAACUCCGUGCCAGCAGCCGCGGUAAUACGGAGGGGGCAAGCGUUACUCGGAAUCACUGGGUGUAAAGAGCGCGUAGGCGGGAGAGCAAGUCAGAUGUGAAAUCCUAUGGCUUAACCAUAGAACUGCAUUUGAAACUGUUAUUCUAGAGUAGGGGAGAGGUAGGUGGAAUUCGUGGUGUAGGGGUAAAAUGCGUAGAGAUCAAGAGGAAUACCAAUUGCGAAGGCGACCUGCUAGAACAUAACUGACGCUGAUGCGCGAAAGCGUGGGGAGCAAACAGGAUUAGAUACCCCUGUAGUC
rnacentral:rRNA from 1 species